rnacentral:lncRNA from 12 species
AGAUGCAAGCCAAAUGUGAUGGCCCCGUUCAGGACGGAAGUGCUUAACACAGCUCGAGGGUGUGAUGGAGCCUUUGUGGCUGCGGGGAUUCCAUUGUCCACUUGGGUUUUAUAUUAGGAUUAUUUUCAAUUUUAGGAUCUUUUUUUUUUUUCCCUGAACCAUUUUGAAGCCAUUUCUCCAUUUGGAGACAGUUACUUUAAUUAAAC